rnacentral:rRNA from 1 species
AAGACUAACUACUGCGAAAGCAUUUGCCAAGGAUGUUUUCAUUAAUCAGUGAACGAAAGUUAGGGGAUCGAAGACGAUCAGAUACCGUCGUAGUCUUAACCAUAAACUAUGCCGACUAGGGAUCGGGCGAUGUUAUCUUUUUGACUCGCUCGGCACCUUACGAGAAAUCAAAGUUUUUGGGUUCUGGGGGGGGUAUGGUCGCAAGGCUGAAACUUAAAGAAAUUGACGGAAGGGCACCACCAGGAGUGGAGCCUGCGGCUUAAUUUGACUCAACACGGGGAAAC